rnacentral:rRNA from 1 species
AUGGGGUCCGUGUCCUUGAAAUUGCUGGCGGCCCGCCGCCGGCACGGCCGGGCCCUCUCCUGCCUCUACCCACCGAUGCUGCUCUCCCUCCUCUCCACCAACCUUCUCGUCUUCUUCCCGCCCCCUCCCCGACACGACCCAGCCACCGGCAUCUCCUCCGCCUCCUCCAACCUCUCCGCGCACGUCACCGCCAUCACGCGCGAGAUCGGCGGCGCCUCCUCCUCCGGUUCCCGCCUCCCGGGCGGCCUGCCCCGGGAGCUGCUGCUCUUCCCCACCCAGCACGCGCUCCCGCUCGGCCGCGACGCGCGGACGGGGCUCCCCCACAUGCUGGCCUCCGCUGCCCCGCCGCUGGUGCCUCUGCUGCGGGCUCCGCGCCCUACUACCGGCCUCCGGCAUGGGCCUCGAUCACCGCCGCUGGGCGGGCCCUCCACGCGGCGGCCAUAA